UUUACUACAAAAUGAAAUGAACCCUAAAAUACUUGUGGAUGGAGACAAUCAGACAGUCAAAACCCUGCAGGGAUCAGUGUUUCCAGAAGAGAAAGCAUAAGGAAAUAAUGGGGAUUCUGAGAAACCUGAAAAUAAGGAACCCUCCUACAGCCAGCAGGUAUUUUCUGAAAAGUGAGAGAGAAUAAUUUUUGAUCAUCAGCUGAAACUAAGAGGGACUCUGCCCAGUGUUCAGCAGGUGAGCACACAGGGUUCACCAUGAGUCUGGGUGCUCAUGCCAUCAGGUACUCUUUGACCUUGAGAAACUGGUAAGCUUGUGCUGACUCCCAAGUUGGGGCACCUCAG
rnacentral:lncRNA from 1 species